ACCAUCUUUUUCUUGGGGUUGUGCUGCCGUCCAAUGAGCACAUAAUGAGGGCAAUAUUGCUAACGCUAAACAACAGACCCACAUCAACUAGAGCUUUGCUUUACCUUGGUACAAUUUUUGGAAAA